rnacentral:rRNA from 1 species
UAGGGAAUCUUCCACAAUGGACGCAAGUCUGAUGGAGCAACGCCGCGUGAGUGAAGAAGGUUUUCGGACCGUAAAGCUCUGUUGUUGGCGAAGAAGGAUAGAGGUAGUAACUGGCCUUUAUUUGACGGUAAUCAACCAGAAAGUCACGGCUAACUACGUGCCAGCAGCCGCGGUAAUACGUAGGUGGCAAGCGUUGUCCGGAUUUAUUGGGCGUAAAGCGAGCGCAGGCGGUUUUUUAGGUCUGAUGUGAAAGCCUUCGGCUUAACCGGAGAAGG